GAUGAACGCUGGCGGCGUGCCUAAUACAUGCAAGUCGAGCGAACGGACGAGAAGCUUGCUUCUCUGAUGUUAGCGGCGGACGGGUGAGUAACACGUGGAUAACCUACCUAUAAGACUGGGAUAACUUCGGGAAACCGGAGCUAAUACCGGAUAAUAUUUUGAACCGCAUGGUUCAAAAGUGAAAGACGGUCUUGCUGUCACUAAUAGAUGGAUCCGCGCUGCAUUAGCUAGUUGGUAAGGUAACGGCUUACCAAGGCAACGAUGCAUAGCCGACCUGAGAGGGUGAUCGGCCACACUGGACCUGAGACACGGUCCAGACUCCUACGGGAGGCAGCAGUAGGGAAUCUUCCGCAAUGGGCGAAAGCCUGACGGAGCAACGCCGCGUGAGUGAUGAAGGUCUUCGGAUCGUAAAACUCUGUUAUUAGGGAAGAACAUAUGUGUAAGUAACUGUGCACAUCUUGACGGUACCUAAUCAGAAAGCCACGGCUAACUACGU
rnacentral:rRNA from 1 species